GACAGAGGGUGCAAACGUUGUUCGGAAUUACUGGGCGUAAAGCGAGUGUAGGCGGUCUGUAAAGUCAGGUGUGAAAGCCCUGGGCUCAACCCAGGAAGUGCACUUGAAACUGCCAGGCUAGAGUAUCGGAGAGGUUGGUGGAAUUCUCGGUGUAGAGGUGAAAUUCGUAGAUAUCGAGAGGAACACCGGUGGCGAAGGCGGCCAACUGGACGAAUACUGACGCUGAGACUCGAAAGCGUGGGGAGCAAACAGG
rnacentral:rRNA from 1 species